rnacentral:lncRNA from 1 species
GGGACCCACCUGGAGCACAGCGCCGCGAAUGGAUGGGCGGAGCGUCGAGACCCUCCGCGGAGGCGACGGCGCCGGCCCGCCAGAAGCGCGCGCGACUGGGAGGCGGAUGCUCCAGGAUGAAACGCCAUAGGCCUCUCAGCAGCAGUGACAGUUCAGACGAAAGUAAGUAGACCCGGCCAGCAGCUGGGUAAUUUCUGUAUCUGUACCCCUUGUGGUUUCCUUCUUCGACUUGAGGACAACUGUUCCAUG